rnacentral:rRNA from 1 species
UACGUAGGGUGCAAGCGUUAAUCGGAAUUACUGGGCGUAAAGCGUGCGCAGGCGGUUAUGCAAGACAGAUGUGAAAUCCCCGGGCUUAACCUGGGAACUGCAUUGGUGACUGGCAGGCUUUGAGUGUGGCAGAGGGAGGUAGAAUUCCACGUGUAGCAGUGAAAUGCGUAGAGAUGUGGAGGAAUACCGAUGGCGAAGGCAGCCUCCUGGGCCAACACUGACGCUCAUGCACGAAAGCGUGGGGAGCAAACAGG